AUACGUAGGUGGCAAGCGUUGUCCGGAAUUAUUGGGCGUAAAGCGCGCGCAGGUGGUUCCUUAAGUCUGAUGUGAAAGCCCCCGGCUCAACCGGGGAGGGUCAUUGGAAACUGGGGAACUUGAGUGCAGAAGAGGAUAGUGGAAUUCCAAGUGUAGCGGUGAAAUGCGUAGAGAUUUGGAGGAACACCAGUGGCGAAGGCGACUGUCUGGUCUGUAACUGACACUGAGGCGCGAAAGCGUGGGGAGCAAACAGGAUUAGAUACCCUGGUAGUCCACGCCGUAAACGAUGAGUGCUAAGCGUUGGGGGGUUUCCGCCCCUCAGUGCUGCAGCUAACGCAUUAAGCACUCCGCCUGGGGAGUACGGUCGCAAGACUGAAACUCAAAUGAAUUGGCGGGG
rnacentral:rRNA from 1 species